CCUACGGGGCGCAGCAGUCGAGAAUCAUUCACAAUGGGGGAAACCCUGAUGGUGCGACGCCGCGUGGGGGAAUGAAGGUCUUCGGAUUGUAAACCCCUGUCAUGUGGGAGCAAAUUAAAAAGAUAGUACCACAAGAGGAAGAGACGGCUAACUCUGUGCCAGCAGCCGCGGUAAUACAGAGGUCUCAAGCGUUGUUCGGAAUCACUGGGCGUAAAGCGUGCGGAGGCUGUUUCGUAAGUCGUGUGUGAAAGGCGCGGGCUCAACCCGCGGACGGCACAUGAUACUGCGAGACUAGAGUAAGGGAGGGGGAAGCGGAAUUCGCGGUGUAGCAGUGAAAUGCGUAGAUAUCGAGAGGAACACUCGUGGCGAAGGCAGGUUCCUGGACAUUAACUGACGCUGAGGCACGAAGGCCAGGGGAGCGAAAGGGAUUAGAUACCCUAGUAGUC
rnacentral:rRNA from 1 species